GACGAACGCUGGCGGCGUGCUUAACACAUGCAAGUCGAACGAAGUGGCGAACGGGUGAGUAACACGUGAGUAACCUGCCCUCUUCUUUGGGAUAACGGUCGGAAACGGCUGCUAAUACUGGAUAGUGGGGGAUGGGCUCGCGGCCUAUCAGCUUGUUGGGGGGGUGAUGGCCUACCAAGGCUUUGACGGGUAACCGGCCUGAGAGGGUGACCUGGCAAAUUGGGACUGAGAUACGGCCCAGAGUCCUGCGGGAGGCAGCAGUGGGGGAUAUUGCACAAUGGGCGAAAGCCUGAUGCAGCGACGCCGGGUGGGGGAUUAAGGCUUUCGGGUUGUAAACCUCUUUCGCUAUCGAACGGGUAUGUGGAGAAGAAGCGCCGGCUAACUACGUGCCAGCCGCCGCGGUAAUUC
rnacentral:rRNA from 1 species